rnacentral:rRNA from 1 species
AACGAACGCUGGCGGCAGGCUUAACACAUGCAAGUCGAACGCCCCGCAAGGGGAGUGGCAGACGGGUGAGUAACGCGUGGGAACGUGCCCUUCGCUUCGGAAUAGCCUCGGGAAGCUGGGAGUAAUACCGAAUACGCCGUAUUGGGAAAGAUUUAUCGGCGAAGGAUCGGCCCGCGUUAGAUUAGGUAGUUGGCGGUGUAAUGGACCACCAAGCCUACGAUCUAUAGCUGGUCUGAGAGGAUGAUCAGCCACACUGGGACUGAGACACGGCCCAGACUCCUACGGGAGGCAGCGGUGGGGAAUCUUGGACAAUGGGCGCAAGCCUGAUCCAGCCAUGCCGCGUGAGUGAAGAAGGCCUUAGGGUUGUAAAACUCUUUCGCCGGAGAAGAUAAUGACGGUAUCCGGAGAAGAAGCCCCGGCUAACUUCGUGCCAGCAGCCGCCGUAAAAC